rnacentral:rRNA from 1 species
AGAGUUUGAUCAUGGCUCAGGAUGAACGCUAGCUACAGGCUUAACACAUGCAAGUCGAGGGGCAGCAUGUUGGUUGCUUGCAACCAAUGAUGGCGACCGGCGCACGGGUGAGUAACGCGUAUCCAACCUACCCUUGUCCAUCGGAUAACCCGUCGAAAGGCGGCCUAACACGAUAUGCGGUUCUCAGCAGGCAUCUAACGUAAACGAAAUGUGAAGGAGAAGGAUGGGGAUGCGUCUGAUUAGCUUGUUGGCGGGGUAACGGCCACCAAGGCUACGAUCAGUAGGGGUUCUGAGAGGAAGGUCCCCCANAUUGGAACUGAGACACGGUCCAAACUCCUACGGGAGGCA